UCCCUGGUGGCUCAGACGGUAAAGCGUCUGUCUACAAUGCAGGAAACCCGGGUUCAUCCCUCGGUCAGGAAG
rnacentral:tRNA from 1 species